AUUGAACGCUGGCGGCAUGCUUUACACAUGCAAGUCGAACGGCAGCACGGGGGCAACCCUGGUGGCGAGUGGCGAACGGGUGAGUAAUGCAUCGGAACGUACCCAGUCGUGGGGGACAACGUAGCGAAAGUUACGCUAAUACCGCAUACGACCUGAGGGUGAAAGCAGGGGAUCGCAAGACCUUGCGCGAUUGGAGCGGCCGAUGUCAGAUUAGCUAGUUGGGGGGGUAAAGGCUCACCAAGGCGACGAUCUGUAGCGGGUCUGAGAGGAUGAUCCGCCACACUGGGACUGAGACACGGCCCAGACUCCUACGGGAGGCAGCAGUGGGGAAUUUUGGACAAUGGGGGCAACCCUGAUCCAGCCAUGCCGCGUGCGGGAAGAAGGCCUUCGGGUUGUAAACCGCUUUCGGACAGAAAGAAAACGCAUGGGCUAAUACCCUGUGUGGAUGACGGUACUGUAAGAAGAAGCACCGGCUAACUACGUGCCAGCCGCCGCGGUAAUAC
rnacentral:rRNA from 1 species